CCCAAGUUUAUGUCAUGAUAAUUGUGUGAUUGAUAAGAUAUUUUGGUUUUGGACUUUAUCUCAUGGAUUUAGAGUUCGAUUAUAUUUGGAAGUGGAAUAAUGCAUUCAUUUACAUAUGAUGUUUGAUGAAGUUCCCAUAAAAUUAAUUCAAUUAUAUAUGUUUAUGGUUCUAAGGAAGCGGGGCAAAAAUUUUAUCAGUGGGUUGAUUUCACUAGUUUAAGUUAGUAAAGCAAAGAAAUUGUCUUUAUGCACUUUAACUUUCCUCCAUUUAAGGUGAAAAAAUUAUUGAAGCUUUUAGAAGUGAAUUGUUCAUUUUGUUUGUGCACUUAUGCAGAUGGAUUUACUUUUGGCUGCUUAACCCUUCCUCACUUAUAUUUUUUCAGUUUAAAUUGCAGUGUUUUGCUGCUGUGCAACAGCACAAGAGGCUGUUUUAUUGUUGUUUCUGUAAAAACACAGCACCAGGAAGCGUCCAGGUAAUGUUUCGCUGCUGUUAUGCAGUAAAAACAACACCUGAAAGUUUCUAGGUGCUAUUUUUACUGCUGUUUACGCAGAAACACAGCACCUAAAAGUGUCUCUAGGUUCUGUUUAGCUGCUAUUAUGCAGCAAAAACAGCACCUGGAAACUUCCAAGUGCUGUUUUUAUUGCAUUUUAUGCAGAAACAAAGCACCUAGAAGCAUUCAAGGGUUGCUUUACUGUUGUUUUGUAUUUAAAAUUGCUGUUAGAAAUUUUGGGUGCUAUUUCUCUGAAAUUUUGCUAUUAACAGUGCAGCUUAAUAAUUUCAUAUGUCGUUUUGAACCUUCUUCAGUUCUUUUCUCUUAUGUCUAUACUUAAUCUUUUCCCCCCUGGUAAUAAGCAGGUACAAUUUUUGCAAGGUAAUAUCUAAGCAUGCUGUUAAUUCUUUGGUUGAGACGUAGUAUUCUAAACUUCAGGCCUUAAUUUUUUUAUUUCCAAGUGUAUAAUGGGUAGGUACUGGAUCUCUUAUGGAUGAUGUAGUUAAUGCUUUUUUAUUGUCUCUAUUUUGGCAAAUGUGUUGUCAUUUAUUAUCUGAACACAUGGUUGAUUAACUUACUUGAGGUAAGUCUAUUAAUUAAUAGUGAUAUGAUACUUUAAAGUCUUGUUUUACAACUUAAGUCACUAAAAUGAUUUAAUAUUUAUGAUUUAUAAUAUAUGAAUAUAUCUUAAUUUCUCUUUAUUCUUUGUAAGAAUGAUGUAGAUUGCUGAAGCUGGUGAGAUUCAUUUGCAAUUGAAGACUUGAUGAGAAAUUAGAUGUACUCACACAUGCCAAUCUUGUUGGUUGCUAGUGCAUUCACUAGUAGAAGUUUAAUGAUUGUUGGAGAUUUUUGUAGAGCUAUCUCUUUGUAUAUGAAACAUUUGCAUCAUUUUGNNN
rnacentral:lncRNA from 1 species